rnacentral:rRNA from 1 species
CCUUAUCGGGUUACCGAAUUCAGACAAACUCCGAAUGCCAAUCAAUUUAACUUGGGAGUCAGAACGCGGGUGAUAAGGUCCGUGUUCGAAAGGGAAACAGCCCAGACCACCAGCUAAGGUCCCAAAAUAUAUGUUAAGUGGAAAAGGAUGUGGCGUUGCCCAGACAACUAGGAUGUUGGCUUAGAAGCAGCCAUCAUUUAAAGAGUGCGUAAUAGCUCACUAGUCGAGUGACACUGCGCCGAAAAUGUACCGGGGCUAAACAUAUUACCGAAGCUGUGGAUUAUCCGUAAGGAUAAUGGUAGGAGAGCGUUCUAAACGUGUCGAAGCAUGAUCGUAAGGACAUGUGGAAUGUUUAGAAGUGAGAAUGCCGGUGUGAGUAGCGAAAGAUGGGUGAGAAUCCCAUCCACCGAUUGACUAAGGUUUCCAGAGGAAGGCUCGUCCGCUCUGGGUUAGUCGGGUCCUAAGCUGAGGCCGAUAGGCGUAGGCGAUGGAUAACAGGUUGAUAUUCCUGUACCACCAUUAUUCGUUUUAAGCGAUGGGGGGACGCAGUAGGAUAGGCGAAGCGUGCUGUUGGAGUGCACGUCCAAGCAAUAAGACUGAGUGUUAGGCAAAUCCGGCACUCUUAAGAUUGAACUGUGAUGGGGAGAGGAAAUUGUUUCCUCGAGUCGUUGAUUUCACACUGCCAAGAAAAGCCUCUAGUUAGAAAAUAGGUGCCCGUACCGCAAACCGACACAGGUAGUCAAGAUGAGAAUUCUAAGGUGAGCGAGCGAACUCUCGUUAAGGAACUCGGCAAAAUGACCCCGUAACUUCGGGAGAAGGGGUGCUCUUUAGGGUUAACGCCCAGGAGAGCCGCAGUGAAUAGGCCCAAGCGACUGUUUAUCAAAAACACAGGUCUCUGCUAAACCGUAAGGUGAUGUAUAGGGGCUGACGCCUGCCCGGUGCUGGAAGGUUAAGAGGAGUGGUUAGCUUCUGCGAAGCUACGAAUCGAAGCCCCAGUAAACGGCGGCCGUAACUAUAACGGUCCUAAGGUAGCGAAAUUCAUUGUCGAGUAAGUUUCGACCUGCACGAAAGGUGUAAUGAUCUGGGCGCUGUCUCGGAGAGAGACUCGGUGAAAUAGACAUGUCCGUGAAGAUGCGGACUACCAAUACUAGGACAGAAAGACCCUAUGAAGCUUGACUGUAUCCUGGAAUUGAACUCGGGCUUUUCUUGCGCAGCCUAGGUGGGAGGCGUUGAAGGUCCCCUUCCGGGGGGGCUGGAGCCAUCAUUGAGAGACCACUCUGGAAGAGCUAGAGUUCUAAUGGUGAUCUUUGAAACAAGACACUUGACAGUUUCAGGUGGGCAGUUUUCCUGGGGCGGGAACCUCCCAAAGCGUAACGGAGGUGUGCAAAGGUUCUCUCAGUCUGGACGGAAAUCAGACAUUGAGUGUAAAGGCAAAAGAGAGCUUGACUGUAAGACCAACAAGUCGAGCAGGGGCGAAAGCCGGCCUUAGUGAUCCGACGGUGCCGUGUGGAAGGGCCGUCGCUCAACGGACAAAAGUUACUCUAGGGAUAACAGGCUGAUCUUCCCCAAGAGUUCAUAUCGACGGGAAGGUUUGGCACCUCGAUGUCGGCUCAUCACAUCCUGGAGCGGUAGUACGUUCCAAGGGUUGGGCUGUUCGCCCAUUAAAGUGGUACGUGAGCUGGGUUCAGAACGUCGUGAGACAGUUUGGUCCAUAUCCGGUAUUGGCGUAAGAGCAUUGAGAGGAGUCUUUCAUAGUACGAGAGGACCUGAAAGAAUGUGCCAAUUGUGUACCAGUUCUCAUUCCAAUGGGAAACGCUGGGUAGCUAUGCACAGAGACGAUAAAAGCUGACAGCAUCUAAGUUUGAAGCUCACCUCAAGAUGAGUGCUCUCUAAUUAGGUCGCGGGAAGAUCACCCGUUUUAUAGGCGUUAGGUCUACAGUCAGUAAUGGCUUGAGCUGAGACGUACUAAAGACCAAUUGAUU